rnacentral:lncRNA from 1 species
GUAGACUUUACACUGCCUUACACCGAGUCUGGCGUAUCAAUGAUCGUGCCGAUCAUCGAUAACAGAAGUAAAAGUGUUGGGUUUCCCUUCUUUGUGGGACUCUUAAAUUUACUAAAUAUGGUUUUUCUAUUUUUGGCCAACACCUUGGUUAGCACAUGACUCUUGGUAUAUUCAAGAUUGGUUUGAAGUCUUCAAGGAAAGAAAAAAAAAAACUACAAGCCUUUUGUCUUUUCCUUUGGUUCAUUAUCUUGGUCGGCAAGAAGACUUUUGGGAUACCUUUUUGGUUCAAACAAACAAAAAGAAAAUUCAGCCUUCUUCUUCUCCAUUUUUUGGUGCUACACAAUCAGCAAGUUUGUUCUUCAAGUGGGUAACGUUCCUUCACUUGAUAUUUGGGGUUUCUUGCGGUUUGUUCUUGGAGAUUUGGUUUACUUUUGUGAGGUAUUUUCCUCUUGUAAUUUACACCUUGGUGUGUUUGUAAGGCUUAUGCCUUUUGACCACUUUGUAAACUCUUUUGGUGAUAGUGGAAGAAACUGACCUACCGGUUGUCGUGNNNNNNNNNNNNNNNNNNNNNNNNNNNNNNNNNNNNNNNNNNNNNNNNNNNNNNNNNNNNNNNNNNNNNNNNNNNNNNNNNNNNNNNNNNNNNNNNNNNNCACAGUUAGUAACUCCACACCUGAUGGAGUGGUAACAAUGAGUCAAGUUACUAGCAGCCUGUUGAAUGAAGAGACAAGAAGAAAAUCAUCAGGUUCUUCUCACUCCGAGGCACUUGUGAUAGAAAAUCGAGGGAGAGGCAGGAGUAAGAGUAAGGCUUCGCACAACCGUGAUAAAUCUAGAGGUCGUUCAAGCUCGAUUUCAAAGAAAGAUGUUGAGUGCUAUUAUUGUCACAAGAAAGGGCAUAUGAAGCGGGAGUGCAGAAAACUCAAGUUCAAGGAGCAGAACAAAGAGAAAAAUUCAGAGAAAAAGCAAAAUGAUACAGCUGUAGUUACCGAUGGUGAACUCAUGAUUAUUCGUGAUGAUGUUAGCGUUAAUUUGAUUGGCCAAGAGACGGAUUGGGUAAUUGAUUCUGGAGCUUCAUUUCAUGUUACUUCGCGGGCUGAUUUCUUUACUUCUUACUCGCAAGGUGAUUUUGGGAAUGUCCGUAUGGGAAAUGAAGAUGUGUCAAAAAUUGUUGGCAUGGGUGACAUUUGCUUGGAAACAAAUACUGGAUGCAAAUUGUUGCUUAGAGAUGUGAGGCAUGUACCGGAUAUUCGGCUCAAUUUAAUCUCUACUGGAAAGUUAGAUGAUGAGGGCUACAACAACAAUUUCAGUGAUGGAAAAUGGAAGCUCUCUAAAGGUUCUCUAGUGGUAGCAAAAGGAAAGAAGACUUGUUCUCUUUACACCGUGCAAGCAAAAAUCUGCAAGUGUGUUGUGAAUACCUUAGAGAAUGACUCAUCCACCGAUUUAUGGCAUAGAAGGCUUGGACAUAUGAGUGAGAAAGGAUUGCAAGUUUUAUCUAAGAAAGAGCUUCUAGCGGGGAUAAAAGGUACGCCUUUGAAAACAUGUGUUCAUUGUUUCCAUGGUAAACAAAAUAGAAUAUCAUUCCGUAGAAACAUUGCAUCUAGAAAAUCUCAUGUUCUAGAUUUGAUACAUUUUGAUGUAUGUGGUCCUUUGAAAGUUAGGACACUUGGUGGUGCUCUAUACUUUGUCACUUUUAUUGAUGAUCACUCUAGAAAAGUUUAGGCUUAUACACUGAAAACUAAAGAUCAAGUUCUAGAUGUGUUUAAGCAUUUUCAAGCCAAGGUUGAAAGAGAAACUGGUAGACAGUUGAAAUGUGUCCGCUCGGAUAAUGGUGGUGAAUAUAUUGGACCAUUUGAUCAGUAUUGCACUAAUCAUGGCAUCAGGCACGAAAAGACAGUAAAAAAGACACCUCAACAGAACGGGGUUGCAGAGAGAAUGAAUCGCACCAUUCUUGAGAGAGUCAGAUGUUUGCUCUCACAUUCUAAAUUGCCAAGAUCUUUUUGGGGUGAGGCAAUGAGGACAGCAGUUGAUCUUAUCAAUUUGUCUCCUUCAGUUCCGUUGAAUGGUGAUGUGCCAGAGAAAGUUUGGACAGGGAAGGAAGUCUCCUAUGAUCACUUGAGGGUAUUCGGCUGCAGAGCUUUUGUUCAUAUUCCAAAAGAUGAGAGGUCCAAGCUUGAUCCAAAAGCAAAGCAGUGCAUAUUUAUUGGCUAUGGGCAUGAAGAAUUUGGCUACAGGUUGUAUGAUCCAGUUGAUAAGAAAGUUGUCAGAAGCCGAGAUGUUGUUUUCUUGGAAGAUCAGACUAUUGAAGACAUUGACAAGCUUGAGUCAGCUGAGUCUAGUACUAAUGAUCUUGUUGAUUUAGAUCCUCUUAAUCCACCUGUUGUUCAUGAUAUUGAUGAGGAAGUGCAGACACCUCAUGAUGAUGCAGCGGAAGAUGAUGUUGAGCCAGAGAUUGAGGGGGAACAGUCACCCCAAGAGCCACUACCACAGACACCGUUGAGGAGAUCUACCAGAGAAAAACAGCCAUCCAGAAAAUAUUCUUCAAAUGAGUAUGUGAUGAUAUCAGAUCAGGGGGAGCCAGAGACUUAUCAAGAAGUCUUGAAGCAUGAGAACAAAACUGAAUGGCUCAAGGCAAUGAAAGAGGAAAUGAAGUCUUUGCAUGAGAAUCACACCUAUGAUUUGGUGAAGCCGCCUAAAGGGAAGAAAAUUUUGAAAAAUAAAUGGGUCUUCAGACGAAAGAAUGAUGGGAACAGUUCUCAACCGAGAUUCAAGGCACGACUUGUUGUGAAAGGUUUUGAUCAGAGGAAGGGAGUUGAUUUUGAUGAGAUCUUCUCACCAGUUGUGAAGAUGUCCUCCAUUCGAACUGUACUUGGUAUAGCUGCGAGUAUGAAUUUAGAAGUUGAGCAGCUUGAUGUGAAGACCGCAUUUUUGCAUGGUGACUUAGAAGAGGAAAUUUAUAUGGAGCAACCUGAGGGCUUCAUAGAUAAGGGUAAUGAUCAGUUAGUUUGCAAAUUGAAGAAGAGUUUGUAUGGAUUGAAGCAAGCACCGAGGCAGUGGUACAGAAAAUUCGAUUCUUUCAUGACUGAGCAUGGGUAUUCAAGAACCACUUCAGACCAUUGUGUGUUUGUGAAGAAAUAUACAGAUGGUAAUUUUAUUAUUCUCUUGCUUUACGUUGAUGAUAUGCUUAUUGUGGGCCAAGACAUGAGCAAGAUUAGCAAGUUGAAGUCAGAGUUGAGCAAGUCCUUUGCCAUGAAGGAUUUGGGUCCAGCAAAGCAAAUUCUUGGGAUAAGAAUUGUUCGCAACAGAUCACAUGGGCUGAUUUGGUUAUCUCAAGAGAAUUAUGUUAAAAAGGUUCUUGAGAGGUUCAAUAUGGACAAAGCAAAGCCUGUUAAUUGUCCACUUGCAGGCCACUUCAAACUUAGCUCAAGUCAAUGUCCUACAAGUGAUGAAGAGAAAAAUGAGAUGCAGAAAAUUCCCUAUGCUUCAGCAAUUGGUUCUUUGAUGUAUGCCAUGGUUUGUACUCGACCGGAUAUUGCUCACGCAGUUGGGGUUGUUAGUCGAUUUAUAUCUAAUCCGGGGAAAGAACACUGGGCAGCAGUGAAAUGGAUUCUGAGGUAUCUUCAGGGCACUUCAAAGAUGAGUUUGUGUUUUGGUAAAGGCGAGCCUAUUCUUGAUGGGUUCACAGAUUCUGAUAUGGCUGGUGAUGUUGAUAGUCGAAAAUCUACUUCUGGUUAUUUGAUUACUUUUGCAGGGGGAGCAGUGACAUGGCAAUCAAGAUUACAGAAAUGUGUUGCUCUCUCCACCACAGAAGCUGAGUUCAUCGCCAUUACAGAAGCCUGCAAAGAAUUAUUGUGGUUGAAGAAAUUCUUACAAGAGUUGGGUUUGAAACAAGAAAGGUAUGUCCUUCAUUGUGAUAGUCAAAGUGCAAUCCACUUGAGUAAGAAUUCUUCAUUUCAUUCGAGGUCGAAACACAUUGAUGUUAGAUAUCAUUGGAUUCGUGAUGUCUUGAAUGAUAAGUUGUUGCAACUUGAAAAAGUUCACACUGAUGAUAACACUUCGGAUAUGUUGACUAAGGCAUUGACUAAGGACAAGCAUGAGAAGUGUCGACUAUUGGCGGGAAUGGUCGAAUCCUCCACAUAAGUCGGGAGGGGGAGAAUUGUUGGGUUUCCCUUCUUUGUGGGACUCUUAAAUUUACUAAAUAUGGUUUUUCUAUUUUUGGCCAACACCUUGGUUAGCACAUGACUCUUGGUAUAUUCAAGAUUGGUUUGAAGUCUUCAAGGAAAGAAAAAAAAAACUACAAGCCUUUUGUCUUUUCCUUUGGUUCAUUAUCUUGGUCGGCAAGAAGACUUUUGGGAUACCUUUUUGGUUCAAACAAACAAAAAGAAAAUUCAGCCUUCUUCUUCUCCAUUUUUUGGUGCUACACAAUCAGCAAGUUUGUUCUUCAAGUGGGUAACGUUCCUUCACUUGAUAUUUGGGGUUUCUUGCGGUUUGUUCUUGGAGAUUUGGUUUACUUUUGUGAGGUAUUUUCCUCUUGUAAUUUACACCUUGGUGUGUUUGUAAGGCUUAUGCCUUUUGACCACUUUGUAAACUCUUUUGGUGAUAGUGGAAGAAACUGACCUACCGGUUGUCGUGGACGUACCUCAAGUUAUUUGAGGGAACCACGUAAAUCUUGUGUGCUCAUUUAUUUUCUGUUAUUCUAUUUAUAUUGCUUCCAUUGAUUUACACUUGUGGGAAAGCCUAGUUUUUUUUCAACAAAAAGAGCAUGGGUCUUUUUGAAGCCAUUAACUUGGGAC